GGGCCUGCACAGGUUUCGCCAAGAAGAUCUUUGAAAAGUGGUCGCGUGCCGAGAAUGUCAUUGUCUCGCAAACCUAUGACAAAACUUACGAGCAAAAUCUAAUUUUGCCCCUGCUUACGCUUUAGCUUAAGCAGCAUCGCCCUGUCUGCCUCCCCUGUGGGCAGGUAGCGGUGUCACCAAUAGGGGAUGCUGGCCGUAGGUAUUCCUUCGUAUCGGCAGUAAGUCACCAAGGAUAAAGCGCGUUAUUUCGCCUCAAUUUUUAUCGCGUCUUGAAAAUCCAAUUGAGACUACGCACGUAGAGAUCAUUUUCCAAACUUUUUGCACGGGGGUUCGAUUCCCCCCAGGUCCAUUU
rnacentral:tmRNA from 1 species